AUAAUUUAUAACAUCUUACUAUAUAGACAUAUGCAUGUAUAUAAUUUUAUAUUGUUUAUAUUACAUAACCUCUCUCUCUCUCUCUCUCUCUCUCUCUCUCUCUCUCCAUUUGUUCCUUCACCAAAGAUCUCCUAUUCAGGAGCCAUAACAACUGUAGUUAGAUUGCCCUGUGGAUCUUCCUUAAGUCUGAGUUGCAGCUGAGGUGAUGUUGAAUGACUUUCAAGACUAUACCCUCAGAGUCUUGCUGUUCCUUACAAUGCUGGCUUUCAGGACACUUCCUCUCAGGACCCAGCUGUAAUCUUCAAGAAUGGUGAAUUGUGUGCAGCAUGCAGGAAUUAGGAACACGUUGGAAACACAAGGUAGACCAGCACGACUGUCUUCCAGAAAAGACGCAAAUGUGAGGACAGAGCCGAGACAGUCCCACAGCAAAACACUGGCUGAGGCUGGAGGCCUGUGGAGCUGAGAGGAAAGAGUCUGGGCUCUGGAAUUCUGAACUGAGAGUGGUCCCAGGAGCAAGGGGGAUCGAACUCACGACUGCCUGAUUGCAAGGCAGGCGCUUAUGCCACUGAGCUAAAUCCCCAGCCCCACAUUUACAAUUUUCAAUAAUGCAUGAUAAACAAUGAUAAAACGUGAAUUAAGUGGUAAAUGUAUUAAGAAGAGAUGGAUAUAAAUAAAAAUCAGAAAUGUUGGAAAUGAAAAACAUGCAAUCAAGUGAAAAAGCAAACUUUUUAAGUGAUGUAGUGAACUGUAUGUUCUUGAGAUAGAGAAGGAAGCCAGAACUUUGCCUCUCUCCUGGAAUGAUCUGAUGAGAGGGAAAGAAAAGGAAAUCUGAAACAAAAUUUAUGGAGGGCAGGUUGAGAAAUGACAAGCUGUUAUGAUAGACAUUUCUAAAAGACAACAGCAAGCAAAGCAGAGAAGCAAUGUUUGAAAGAUGUAAGCUCAUACUUUUCUAAAAUUAAAGGUAAACCUGAAUCCUGGCAUGAAAAGGGCAUUUUGUUAAGCACAGCAGAGAGAAAGAUAAAAACAAAACAAACUUUGGCUUUCAUAAACAGUUUUGCGAAACUACAGAAUGGCAGGACUAAAGAGAGAAAAUUAUCAGUGACAAAUCAGCUUACCAAGGCACGGCGGUCACACUGGUAGCAGAGUUUUCAUCAGUCACAUGAGCCGGCAGAUGAUGGAGUAAGAUCUUAAAGAUGUAGAGGGAAAACAGCUAUGAAGCGAGAUAUAUGCAGGGGUUCAGUCACUCUUUCAGACAAAAAGGGGGAAAAAAAGCAAAACAAAAAACACCUGCCAAAAGGAAGCAAAUGGUCCCAGCUGCCUAUGACAGUCAUGUGCUUCUGGCAGGACAUUCUGCAGCGUGUGACAAGACAGAGCUGGAUCAUCUACCUAAACAGCGAAGCUAAAACUACACAAAUAAAACGGAAAACUUUCGUGAACUUAAGGAAGAUAAAUCUUUUUGAAAGCCUAUAUUGUUACUGUUUUGGGUUUGUUGUUGUUGUUUGUCUCUUUUGCUUUUAUUGUUUUUUUUCCCCUUUAAAUAAAAUAAAACAGAUAAAAUUUCUCGGGACACAAAUAAAUAUGA